UGAUCCCUUCCCGAACUCAGAAGUGAAACCUCUUAGCGCUGAUGGUAGUGUGGGAUUACCCAUGUGAGAGUAAGUCAUCGCCAGCUC
rnacentral:rRNA from 1 species